CCUACGGGAGGCAGCAGUAAGGAAUAUUGGUCAAUGGACGCAAGUCUGAACCAGCCAUGCCGCGUGAAGGAUUAAGGUCCUCUGGAUUGUAAACUUCUUUUAUCUGGGACGAAAAAAGGCGAUUCUUCGUCACUUGACGGUACCAGAUGAAUAAGCACCGGCCAACUCCGUGCCAGCAGCCGCGGUAAUACGGAGGGUGCAAGCGUUAUCCGGAUUCACUGGGUUUAAAGGGUGCGUAGGCGGGUAGGUAAGUCAGUGGUGAAAUCCUGGAGCUUAACUCCAGAACUGCCAUUGAUACUAUCUAUCUUGAAUAUUGUGGAGGUAAGCGGAAUAUGUCAUGUAGCGGUGAAAUGCUUAGAUAUGACAUAGAACACCUAUUGCGAAGGCAGCUUACUACGCAUAUAUUGACGCUGAGGCACGAAAGCGUGGGGAUCAAACAGGAUUAGAUACCCUGGUAGUCCACGCCCUAAACGAUGGAUACUCGACAUACGCGAUACACAGUGUGUGUCUGAGCGAAAGCAUUAAGUAUCCCACCUGGGAAGUACGACCGCAAGGUUGAAACUCAAAUGAAUUGACGGA
rnacentral:rRNA from 1 species